GGUUAAGCGACUAAGCGUACACGGUGGAUGCCCUGGCAGUCAGAGGCGAUGAAGGACGUGCUAAUCUGCGAUAAGCGUCGGUAAGGUGAUAUGAACCGUUAUAACCGGCGAUUUCCGAAUGGGGAAACCCAGUGUGAUUCGUCACACUAUCAUUACGUGAAUACAUAGCGUAAUGAAGCGAACCGGGGGAACUGAAACAUCUAAGUACCCCGAGGAAAAGAAAUCAACCGAGAUUCCCCCAGUAGCGGCGAGCGAACGGGGAGCAGCCCAGAGUCUGAAUCAGCUUGUGUGUUAGUGGAACGGUCUGGAAAGUCCGACGGUACAGGGUGAUAGUCCCGUACACCAAAAUGCACAGGUUGUGAACUCGAAGAGUAGGGCGGGACACGUGGUAUCCUGUCUGAAUAUGGGGGGACCAUCCUCCAAGGCUAAAUACUCCUGACUGACCGAUAGUGAACCAGUACCGUGAGGGAAAGGCGAAAAGAACCCCGGCGAGGGGAGUGAAAAAGAACCUGAAACCGUGUACGUACAAGCAGUGGGAGCAUCCUUUUGGGUGUGACUGCGUACCUUUUGUAUAAUGGGUCAGCGACUUAUAUUCUGUAGCAAGGUUAACCGUAUAGGGGAGCCGAAGGGAAACCGAGUCUUAACUGGGCGUUAAGUUGCAGGGUAUAGACCCGAAACCCGGUGAUCUAGCCAUGGGCAGGUUGAAGGUUGGGUAACACUAACUGGAGGACCGAACCGACUAAUGUUGAAAAAUUAGCGGAUGACUUGUGGCUGGGGGUGAAAGGCCAAUCAAACCGGGAGAUAGCUGGUUCUCCCCGAAAGCUAUUUAGGUAGCGCCUCGUGAACUCAUCUUCGGGGGUAGAGCACUGUUUCGGCUAGGGGGUCAUCCCGACUUACCAACCCGAUGCAAACUGCGAAUACCGAAGAAUGUUAUCACGGGAGACACACGGCGGGUGCUAACGUCCGUCGUGAAGAGGGAAACAACCCAGACCGCCAGCUAAGGUCCCAAAGUCAUGGUUAAGUGGGAAACGAUGUGGGAAGGCACAGACAGCCAGGAUGUUGGCUUAGAAGCAGCCAUCAUUUAAAGAAAGCGUAAUAGCUCACUGGUCGAGUCGGCCUGCGCGGAAGAUGUAACGGGGCUAAACCAUGCACCGAAGCUGCGGCAGCGACACUAUGUGUUGUUGGGUAGGGGAGCGUUCUGUAAGCCGUUGAAGGUGUAUCGUGAGGUAUGCUGGAGGUAUCAGAAGUGCGAAUGCUGACAUAAGUAACGAUAAUGCGGGUGAAAAACCCGCACGCCGGAAGACCAAGGGUUCCUGUCCAACGUUAAUCGGGGCAGGGUGAGUCGACCCCUAAGGCGAGGCCGAAAGGCGUAGUCGAUGGGAAACAGGUUAAUAUUCCUGUACUUGGUGUUACUGCGAAGGGGGGACGGAGAAGGCUAUGUUAGCCGGGCGACGGUUGUCCCGGUUUAAGCAUGUAGGCGGAGGUUCCAGGUAAAUCCGGUACCUUUUUAACGCUGAGGUGUGAUGACGAGGCACUACGGUGCUGAAGUAACAAAUGCCCUGCUUCCAGGAAAAGCCUCUAAGCAUCAGGUAACACGAAAUCGUACCCCAAACCGACACAGGUGGUCAGGUAGAGAAUACCAAGGCGCUUGAGAGAACUCGGGUGAAGGAACUAGGCAAAAUGGUGCCGUAACUUCGGGAGAAGGCACGCUGAUAUGUAGGUGAAGUGAUUUACUCAUGGAGCUGAAAUCAGUCGAAGAUACCAGCUGGCUGCAACUGUUUAUUAAAAACACAGCACUGUGCAAACACGAAAGUGGACGUAUACGGUGUGACGCCUGCCCGGUGCCGGAAGGUUAAUUGAUGGGGUUAUCCGUAAGGAGAAGCUCUUGAUCGAAGCCCCGGUAAACGGCGGCCGUAACUAUAACGGUCCUAAGGUAGCGAAAUUCCUUGUCGGGUAAGUUCCGACCUGCACGAAUGGCGUAAUGAUGGCCAGGCUGUCUCCACCCGAGACUCAGUGAAAUUGAACUCGCUGUGAAGAUGCAGUGUACCCGCGGCAAGACGGAAAGACCCCGUGAACCUUUACUAUAGCUUGACACUGAACACUGGUCCUUGAUGUGUAGGAUAGGUGGGAGGCUUUGAAGUGUGGACGCCAGUCUGCAUGGAGCCAUCCUUGAAAUACCACCCUUUAAUGGCUGGUGUUCUAACGUGGACCCGUUACCCGGGUUGCGGACAGUGUCUGGUGGGUAGUUUGACUGGGGCGGUCUCCUCCUAAAGAGUAACGGAGGAGCACGAAGGUUAGCUAAUCCUGGUCGGACAUCAGGAGGUUAGUGCAAAGGCAUAAGCUAGCUUGACUGCGAGAGUGACGGCUCGAGCAGGUGCGAAAGCAGGUCUUAGUGAUCCGGUGGUUCUGAAUGGAAGGGCCAUCGCUCAACGGAUAAAAGGUACUCCGGGGAUAACAGGCUGAUACCGCCCAAGAGUUCAUAUCGACGGCGGUGUUUGGCACCUCGAUGUCGGCUCAUCACAUCCUGGGGCUGAAGUAGGUCCCAAGGGUAUGGCUGUUCGCCAUUUAAAGUGGUACGCGAGCUGGGUUUAGAACGUCGUGAGACAGUUCGGUCCCUAUCUGCCGUGGGCGCUGGAGAAUUGAGGGGGGCUGCUCCUAGUACGAGAGGACCGGAGUGGACGCAUCACUGGUGUUCGGGUUGUCAUGCCAAUGGCAUUGCCCGGUAGCUAAAUGCGGAAGAGAUAAGUGCUGAAAGCAUCUAAGCACGAAACUUGCCCCGAGAUGAGUUCUCCCUGAGACUAUAAGUCUCCUGAAGGAACGUUAAAGACGAUGACGUUGAUAGGUCGGGUGUGUAAGUGUAGCGAUACAUUGAGCUAACCGAUACUAAUGAACCGUGAGGCUUAACCUU
rnacentral:rRNA from 1 species